GGGUCUUUCGUCGCCGGGUGAUCAUCAUCCGGGCCUUUUCACGUCACUUCCGUUGAAAACAACACCACGUGCGUUGCCCAUGAACGCAGUAGCUGUCACUUCCAGCGGGAUUAAAAGCAGCAUUUAUUUGACGUAUAAAUGCAGACUGGUUGAAGCUAGUUUGAACCAAAACAGUCAAGCUUCGGAGAAGGUAGGGGCUGAGUUUGUAGCGGCUAUUUUGCUGGCCAAACGGAACCACCGGUCAAGGAAACCGGUGUCGCUUGAAUUAGCUCAUGUCCUCAAAUCUCCAAACACGUUCAACGUUCACCUUUGAAGGGUUUUGUGAAAAUAGCUCAUGCUAGCAAACGCUUUGCACCUCGUUAUGCUCCUGAAGUAAUUUGUGAAAUGCAAUUAAAUAACAUUACAUUGUAAGAAACUGAGACUUGGAAGCUAACGUUAACUUGAGGCAGCAAACGCUGACUGCAAACCCGGCCGCUUCAUCUGCUCAGUGACGUCACUGAGCUCACUGCUCAGUGACGUGUUGGUGGUGGCUCACACCGUCGCUAACGUAUUCCGUCACACACUUUAUCUCUCUUUUCUUUUCUCUUCCAUUCACUGAAAUUGAUGAGAAAUGAUUUGUGUUGUGCACAAUCCACAAUCUGUUUUGUUGUUUUCUUCUCCUCUGACUCCCCGUGUGAAUUUUCUCACGGCGCCUCAGAGUCUCAACCGAGUUUGAGAGAAACGGGAGACUUGAGGGCUCAAGAGUCUCAACCGAGUUUGAGAGAAACGGGAGACUUGAGGGCUCAAGGUGAGCUUAUACCUGCUGCCCCCCAACACACACACACACACACACACACACACAGCUUCCCAUGUAGCGUCAGGCCCGCGCUGCUUUGCCCUGAGUGUGUAGGAGUUGCAGCAGUGUGUUGUUGCAGCUUUGUUGCUGCGGUUGCAUGGCUGUGUGACGUGCCGCUCUGCUAACGCUG